ACAUUUAGUCUCGUUGGUGACCAGCGGAGGGAUCAUUAUCGAGUUACCGCUCCUUAUAACCCUUUGUGAACAUACCCCAAACGUUGCCUCGGCGGGCAGCCGGAGCCCAGCUCCGUCGCCCGGAGCCGCCGUCUCGGCGCGCCCCACCCGCCGGCGGACCACCAAAUUCUAUUUAAACGACGUCUCUUCUGAGUGGCACAAGCAAAUAAUCAAAACUUUUAACAACGGAUCUCUUGGUUCUGGCAUCGAUGAAGAACGCAGCGAAAUGCGAUAAGUAAUGUGAAUUGCAGAAUUCAGUGAAUCAUCGAAUCUUUGAACGCACAUUGCGCCCGCCAGCAUUCUGGCGGGCAUGCCUGUUCGAGCGUCAUUUCAACCCUCAAGCACCGCUUGGCGUUGGGGCCCUACGGCUUCCGUAGGCCCCGAAAUACAGUGGCGGACCCUCCCGGAGCCUCCUUUGCGUAGUAACAUACCACCUCGCACUGGGAUCCGGAGGGACUCCUGCCGUAAAACCCCCCAAUUUUCCAAAGGUUGACCUCGGAUCAGGUAGGAAUACCCGCUGAACUUAAGCAUAUCAAAA
rnacentral:rRNA from 1 species